UCCGUUGGGUGAACCUGCGGAGGGAUCAUUACCGAGUUUACAACUCCCAAACCCCUGUGAACAUACCUUAAUGUUGCCUCGGCGGAUCAGCCCGCGCCCCGUAAAACGGGACGGCCCGCCAGAGGACCCAAACUCUAAUGUUUCUUAUUGUAACUUCUGAGUAAAACAAACAAAUAAAUCAAAACUUUCAACAACGGAUCUCUUGGUUCUGGCAUCGAUGAAGAACGCAGCAAAAUGCGAUAAGUAAUGUGAAUUGCAGAAUUCAGUGAAUCAUCGAAUCUUUGAACGCACAUUGCGCCCGCUGGUAUUCCGGCGGGCAUGCCUGUUCGAGCGUCAUUUCAACCCUCAAGCCCCCGGGUUUGGUGUUGGGGAUCGGCUCUGCCCUUCUGGGCGGUGCCGCCCCCGAAAUACAUUGGCGGUCUCGCUGCAGCCUCCAUUGCGUAGUAGCUAACACCUCGCAACUGGAACGCGGCGCGGCCAUGCCGUAAAACCCCAACUUCUGAAUGUUGACCUCGGAUCAGGUAGGAAUACCCGCUGAACUUAAGCAUAUCAAUAACCCGGAGGA
rnacentral:rRNA from 1 species